rnacentral:rRNA from 1 species
UUCGAGUGGCGGACGGGUGAGUAACGCGUGGGUAACCUGCCUUACACAGGGGGAUAACACCUGGAAACAGGUGCUAAUACCGCAUAAGCGCACAGGGCCGCAUGGCCCGGUGUGAAAAACUCCGGUGGUGUAAGAUGGACCCGCGUCUGAUUAGCUUGUUGGCGGGGUAGGGGCCCACCAAGGCGACGAUCAGUAGCCGGCCUGAGAGGGUGGACGGCCACAUUGGGACUGAGACACGGCCCAAACUCCUACGGAAGGCAGCAG